rnacentral:miRNA from 1 species
GGAAAACAUGAAUGUCGGGUG